UUACCAUGCAGUCGAACGGUGAAGCCCAGCUUGCUGGGUGGAUCAGUGGCGAACGGGUGAGUAACACGUGAGCAACCUGCCCCUGACUCUGGGAUAAGCGCUGGAAACGGCGUCUAAUACUGGAUACGAGACGUGACCGCAUGGUCAACGUUUGGAAAGAUUUUUCGGUUGGGGAUGGGCUCGCGGCCUAUCAGCUUGUUGGUGAGGUAAUGGCUCACCAAGGCGUCGACGGGUAGCCGGCCUGAGAGGGUGACCGGCCACACUGGGACUGAGACACGGCCCAGACUCCUACGGGAGGCAGCAGUGGGGAAUAUUGCACAAUGGGCGGAAGCCUGAUGCAGCAACGCCGCGUGAGGGAUGACGGCCUUCGGGUUGUAAACCUCUUUUAGCAGGGAAGAAGCGAAAGUGACGGUACCUGCAGAAAAAGCGCCGGCUAACUACGUGCCAGCAGCCGCGGUAAUACGUAGGGCGCAAGCGUUAUCCGGAAUUAUUGGGCGUAAAGAGCUCGUAGGCGGUUUGUCGCGUCUGCUGUGAAAUCUGGGGGCUCAACCCCCAGCCUGCAGUGGGUACGGGCAGACUAGAGUGCGGUAGGGGAGAUUGGAAUUCCUGGUGUAGCGGUGGAAUGCGCAGAUAUCAGGAGGAACACCGAUGGCGAAGGCAGAUCUCUGGGCCGUAACUGACGCUGAGGAGCGAAAGGGUGGGGAGCAAACAGGCUUAGAUACCCUGGUAGUCCACCCCGUAAACGUUGGGAACUAGUUGUGGGGUCCAUUCCACGGAUUCCGUGACGCAGCUAACGCAUUAAGUUCCCCGCCUGGGGAGUACGGCCGCAAGGCUAAAACUCAAAGGAAUUGACGGGGACCCGCACAAGCGGCGGAGCAUGCGGAUUAAUUCGAUGCAACGCGAAGAACCUUACCAAGGCUUGACAUAUACGAGAACGGGCCAGAAAUGGUCAACUCUUUGGACACUCGUAAACAGGUGGUGCAUGGUUGUCGUCAGCUCGUGUCGUGAGAUGUUGGGUUAAGUCCCGCAACGAGCGCAACCCUCGUUCUAUGUUGCCAGCACGUAAUGGUGGGAACUCAUGGGAUACUGCCGGGGUCAACUCGGAGGAAGGUGGGGAUGACGUCAAAUCAUCAUGCCCCUUAUGUCUUGGGCUUCACGCAUGCUACAAUGGCCGGUACAAAGGGCUGCAAUACCGCGAGGUGGAGCGAAUCCCAAAAAGCCGGUCCCAGUUCGGAUUGAGGUCUGCAACUCGACCUCAUGAAGUCGGAGUCGCUAGUAAUCGCAGAUCAGCAACGCUGCGGUGAAUACGUUCCCGGGUCUUGUACACACCGCCCGUCAAGUCAUGAAAGUCGGUAACACCUGAAGCCGGUGGCCUAACCCUUGUGGAGGGAGCCGUCGAAG
rnacentral:rRNA from 1 species